GGUCGCCUUAUCCACUGACGACCCGUCAGCGCUAAACGCGAGGCGGGACUCGGCGCGGAGCGGGAGCAAACUUCCCCAAGAUUGGCCACCGCUAUGUGCCGUCACGCUUUCCAAGUCAUUGGCGUUACAAACGAGGAAACUAUUCGGGCCUCGAGUCAUUCAGCCGGUCAUUCAACAAACGUAUACGGUUAGUAUCUUCUGGGUAUACCCAGCACUGGGGCACUGGAGGAGGAAGAGGAGAAAGAUAAGUAUGGAUAAACACGUGUGAAAUCCUUUCUUCUUUGCACAUCCAUUCUUUCAUUAAAUAUCCUUAAAAUCCUA